AUUCGCGGCCUAUCAGCUUGUUGGUGAGGUAGCGGCUCACCAAGGCAACGACGGGUAGCUGGUCUGAGAGGACGAUCAGCCACACUGGGACUGAGACACGGCCCAGACUCCUACGGGAGGCAGCAGCAGGGAAUAUUGCACAAUGGGCGAAAGCCUGAUGCAGCGACGCCGCGUGAGGGAUGAAGGCCUUCGGGUUGUAAACCUCUUUCAGGAGGGAAGAAGCGAAAGUGACGGUACCUCCACAGGAAGCCCCGGCCAACUACGUGCCAGCAGCCGCGGUAAUACGUAGGGGGCAAGCGUUGUCCGGAUUCAUUGGGCGUAAAGAGCUCGUAGGCGGCUCAGCAAGUCGGUCGUGAAAGCCCGGGGCUCAACCCCGGGACGCCGAUCGAAACUGCUGUGGCUAGGGUCCGGUAGAGGAGAGUGGAAUUCCCGGUGUAGCGGUGAAAUGCGCAGAUAUCGGGAGGAACACCAGUAGCGAAGGCGGCUCUCUGGGCCGGCACCGACGCUGAGGAGCGAAAGCUAGGGGAGCAAACAGGAUUAGAUACCCUGGUAGUCCUAGCCGUAAACGUUGGGCACUAGGUGUGGCGGACUCAUUGACGUCUGCCGUGCCGAAGCAAACGCAUUAAGUGCCCCGCCUGGGGAGUACGGAAU
rnacentral:rRNA from 1 species